UACGUAGGGUGCGAGCGUUGUCCGGAAUUAUUGGGCGUAAAGAGCUCGUAGGCGGCUUGUCGCGUCGGAUGUGAAAGCCCGGGGCUUAACUCCGGGUCUGCAUUCGAUACGGGCAGGCUAGAGUUCGGUAGGGGAGAUCGGAAUUCCCGGUGUAGCGGUGAAAUGCGCAGAUAUCUGGAGGAACACCGGUGGCGAAGGCGGCAUCCUGGACCAAUACUGACGCUGAGGAGCGAAAGCGUGGGGAGCGAACAGG
rnacentral:rRNA from 1 species